rnacentral:rRNA from 1 species
UACGGAGGGUGCGAGCGUUGUCCGGAAUCACUGGGCGUAAAGAGCGUGUAGGCGGCCAGGUAGGUCGGUUGUGAAAACUGGAGGCUCAACCUUCAGAGGUCGACCGAAACCAUCUGGCUAGAGUCCGGGAGAGGAGAGUGGAAUUCCUGGUGUAGCGGUGAAAUGCGCAGAUAUCAGGAAGAACACCGGUGGCGAAGGCGGCCCGCUGGGCAGGAAGACGGGGCAACCCGUCGGCUGACACUGAGGCGCGACAGCGUGGGGAGCAAACAGG